AAAGGAGAUUGAGAAAGAAAUCGACCAUAAAACCAAUGAAUUCCAAUGGCUUGAAAAUAAAUGCAAGGGUCCUGCGCUUGAUAAUAGAUAUCAAAAUGACCUAUUUGUAGGCCCGUGCCCUCUACUAACACCACAGAUUUCACUUUUUAUCCCAAUUGGGUCGGGCGAAACUUUUGGGUCGGGUCAUAAUUCGGUCCAUGAAAAACAUAUUCAAAUUUCAAGCCACAAAAAUAACAUUUAUCAAAUCUUGAGGCACCAUACACGUAAUGAUUGGCGGAAGAGCUAUACAUUUCAAUAUUUCUCAAUAAAUUGACUGUAUAAAGAACCACAUGAGGGACCAAGGCACUCAAUAAAAAUUAAAUUAAAUUCAGAUCCAUAUGUAGAACUUCAAUUAAAAGUAGACAAUCUAAAAGAUUUGAAAUGACCUAGGAUCAUAUAAACAAAACAUAGCAUAACAAGGAGCCUGCUAGGUAAAAAAAAUUUUGUCUAGAAAAAUUCUUUUGCAAUAAGAGCUAAUAGAACAGUGAUGACAGGAAGUUAUGAAGUAAGAUAUCUUACAGGGUUGUGAAAAGAGAAAGAUU
rnacentral:misc_RNA from 1 species